AGCAAGAAUUGAAUGCUUUCAGGGAUAUCACCCCAGAUCAGAUGUGAAGCCAUCUUGACUUCUUCUUAAAAUAUGUAGCUGAUUUCAGAUUGUGCAACUGUUUUUGGUGGUCAUUUAUUCCUUCUACAAAGAACAUCUGGAUUAGAUAAAUUAUUUGUACUGUUUGUGUUGAAAGUUUAUGUUCUGGGAAAUGGUAUAUCAUCAGUUUGGAAGAAAAUGCCGAGUCUGAAUAAUUUCAGCCUUCAGCCACAGAGUUUUUACUAGGGAACCGGAAAACUAUUUAGUUGUUAAGUUCAGCUACUUGGCUACCUGAACAGAAAGACAUUAUUUUAUUAGUAUAGACGAUAAAAGUUAAUUGGCUGAGAAACUGUUUCUUUGUCAGUACCAGUGAGAAUAUUUUUAAUAGGUCUGACUCAAAGAAAUCAAGAAAUACUCAGUAACCAGGAAAAUGGAAAAGCUUUGCUUGACAGAAGAGAUUUAGAAAGUACCAUCUUACUGUUUGUUCUGUAAGCACAGGAUGAGAUUUCACACUGUUCUACUCUGCUUUUUGUAAGGUUGGACAAGGAGAAGAGACAGGACUUUUAAGUGGUGCAGCUGGACUGAAGAGUUCCUACAGUGAACAACCUGAGCUAAUCUGGUACAAGCUCUAUUCUCAGAUGCCCUCAGAAACAAUGGGGAAAAUCCAUAAUGCUGGAUCAGGGCUGCUGCAGCUCUCCAUGGUCUCCUCAGGUCCAACCAGUAAUGAUGCUGAAGAUACAUUCCAGGUAAUCACACCACAUCUAUACACAGACAGUCUCACAGGUCAGACAGAGAUACAGAUGGCACCAUUGGCCUCAUUUAUAGGCUGUUCUGACAAACUGGAUGCCCCAUCCUUGGAAGUGUUCAAGGCCAGAUUAGAUGAGGCUCUGGGCAGCCUGAUCUGGUAGCUGGUAACCCUGCUCAUGGCAGGGGGUUGAACUAGAUGAUCUUUGAGGUCCCUUCCAACUUAAACCAGUCAAUGAUUUCACUCCCUUCUGUUUGAACAGUCUGACUUCAGUUGCUGUUGCUGAGAUUCCCGUCCUCCCCCUAUACACACACACGCACCAACAGAGCCUAUCACCCAAGAAAAUGAAUUAGAAAAAAGUUUAAUGUGAAGGUAGUAUAGACUGCACUGAUAAGAAUAUGGCACAACCAGAUAAGCACUGAAGAGCACUAGUGAGUGGCCCUUUCUGUCCCAUUACCUAUUUUACUCUUUUCCUCACUCUGGUUCCUCCUCAAAUAAUCUAAAUUCACCCCUUCUCCCACAUUGAUUGUUCCCUCAAACAUAACCUAAUAACUUAUACCCAAUUGUAUAUGCACCAGUUCUAACCUCAUUAUCUUUCAAUAACAGAACAUUUUUGCUCAUUUGUAGCUGGAUAUAACGUCUCAAAAAUCUAUACUUAUUUGUAAGUUACUAAAUAAACAGAAUGCUAAAUUAAGUCUUCUUUAAGUUAGAGCUGAGAGCAGCAUGUCUGAAGAAUACACUGUAGUAAUCAGCUUAUACAGAACUUCAUCUAUUUCUUGUUUUUAAAGACAGUUGACUUCAACAUGGUUUCAUCCAUGCCUGAGUCAUGCAAGAUGCAUUCCCUCCAACAAAAACAUUUUUCCUAAGCAUUGCAAAAACACAAACAAAACCAGUCAUUUACAAGCAGAGCUUCAAUGUUUCCUUCAGUUUUUCACAAAUUUCAGCACUACGCAAACCCGCGAAGCUCUGCUGUCUACAGUACAGCAUGCAGCAGUUAGUAUAUGCAACAUUAAGACAGGAAUCAUCUUCCAUUUCACAUUUUUACACAUAAUAAUUAGGUUAAAUCUAAGUAAUAGUACUCAUGACAGGUAUUCCUGAUAAAAUAUGUACAAACUGAUUGUAAUAUGAAAAUAGAGCUGCUUUAGGCUAUUUUUUACUUACAAAAAAUUGCUGGUUAAAAGCAAACGUAGAGACCUAAACAGGAAUUAGUACAGUGGAGGGCAAACUAUUAAUAAGUCUGUAGCCAGCAGUUUAAAAGAAGUUACCAUUCCCUCCAUUGAACAUUUGUGAGGCUCUAUCUAUAGCACUGACUCCUGUUUUGGGUCUCCCCAGUAAAAGACACUGUAGCAAGACCAGAGAGUGGAAGAUGAGGAACAAUAGGGAUGAACCAGGAGGAGAAGUUAGAAGAGCUUCAUUUUUACAACCUAAAGAAAAGAUGGAAAAUGAUUUCAUUCUCAUCUUCAGCUAUUUCUAUUAAAUUAGAAAGAAGGCAGAGACAGACCUUCCUCAACAGAGAGCAGAAAAAGUACAAGAGACAGUAACAUUGGUGAAGCACAGGGGCACAUUGCUUACAAAAACCUGUAACUCCAUUGUUUAACAGAUACUUGUCACAUGUCUUUUUCCAGAAACUUUUUCCUGACAAAUUAGCUGUUGCUGCAUCUCUUACCAGUACUUACAGUAAGAAGACUCACAAUAAUGAGCCAUUUUCACCUGUAUUUUAACCCAUUACUUGUCAUGCAAAAUACCAUACAGACAAACAUUUUCUUGGUUGCUACUGAGGCCUUAGGAUUAUUUUUUCCUACCACUAACUUGUCUCACAGCUUUUGAAAAUUUAUUUCAUUCCAUUUUCUCCAUCGGCAAAUCAGGUUGCAGUUGAAAAACUAUUAAAAAUAGCACAACUCAUUACUAAGUCUGAAGACUGCGCACAGAAUUCAUAUGUUGUGCAGGAAGAUGAGAGAGAGGGACAGCAGCCCAUGUGACAGGUAUGUCAUUUUAACAAGUAUGUUUGUUUAGGAAGCUGUUUAAGCUGUGUGACUAUCAGGAGAAAUUCUCCCUUUCAAAAGCAAUAGCAGCAGGAAGAGAAACAGUGAUUAGAAAGCAAUUUAAAGAGCCUACUGGGGCAGAAAAUGUGCUUGCCGCAGCCACACAAAACAAAUGUAGUUACAGUUGGCUGGCAAAAAGGCAGCCAAGCAUCAGUAGAAACAAGAAAUACCUAUUGUCCAGAAGAUAUUGAAUUCUACAGCAGAAAAUUAAUUUUCCACCUAGUAUCUCAGAAAUAAGAAUAUAAUUACAUGUAACCCAGAAGCUCUGCAACUACCUCUCAGAACUCAAAAGCUUAUCAUAUACUAACUUCUCUGGAAUCUUCAGGAGAAAACAUCUGGAUUAAAUAAAAUUCAUUUUCAGCA